UACAGAAUAUUGAAGGUGACAUCGGGGGCAACUUCCGUCUCUGAGUCAGGUUGGUGGAGCUGGACCCCUCAUUCCAUUACAGAGCCGGACCCCUCACCCUCUGGUACAUGAACAGAAGAUCCUAGAACUCACCCACAAGAUCACUGAGCUGCUGACUGGAGAGGUUCCUGUAAGGUGUCAGGAUGUCCAUGGAGGACUGGGAGUAUAUAGAUGGACACAAGGAUCUGUACAAGGACUUAUUAAUGGAGGACCACCGGCCCCUCACAUCACAAGAUGGAUCCAGGAGGAGAAAUCCUUCAGAGAGAUGUCC